rnacentral:rRNA from 1 species
CCUACGGGAGGCAGCAGUGAGGAAUCUUGGUCAAUGGACGAGAGUCUGAACCAGCCAAGUAGCGUGAAGGAUGACUGCCCUAUGGGUUGUAAACUUCUUUUAUAUGGGAAUCAAAUGUUCCACGUGUGGGAUUUUGUAUGUACCAUAUGAAUAAGGAUCGGCUAACUCCGUGCCAGCAGCCGCGGUAAUACGGAGGAUCCGAGCGUUAUCCGGAUUUAUUGGGUUUCAAGGGUGCGUAGGCGGACAGUCAAGUCAGCGUUAAAAAUGCGGUGCUCAACGCCGUACAGCCGUUGAAACUGGCAGUCUUGAGUGGGCGAGAAGUAUGCGGAAGGCGUGGUGUAGCGGUGAAAUGCAUAGAUAUCACGCAGAACUCCGAUUGCGAAUGCAGCAUACCGGCGCCCGACUGACGCUGAGGCACGAAAGCGUGGGUAUCGAACAGGAUUAGAUACCCCUGUAGUC